CAAGAGGAAGAAGAAGUCGGCGGGGUGCCGCCGGAGCCCACCACAGGACUCGAGGCCCAGCCCAGCCCAGCCCAGCGCACCUACCAAGACCGACCGACUUUCCCCUUCCCUGCUCCUCCAUUCCUCUCCUCCUCCUCCUGCCGCCAUCGCCGUUGCCGUCAGCCGUCGCCGCCGCCGCCGCAUCUCCCCCGCGCCGCCGCCGCAUCUCCCCCGCGCCGCCGCCUUGACGCUCCGAUUUGUCCGUCCGACGGUCAGCAGCAGCAGCAGCAGCAGCCUAGUCGUCAUCGUCGCCGAUGGCAGGGUUCGGCAGCCUGGCGUCCAAGACGAAGAAUGUGGUGGUGGCGGGCGGGCUGACGGGGUUCGUCUUUGGGGUGUACUACUACACCAUGUGGGCGGUGGGCAGCACCGACGAGCUGCAGGUCACUAUCGACAAGUUUGAGGACCUGAAGAAGAAGGAGGAGGCAACCUUCGCAGCCGCCGCAAGCGCCUCCACCCCGGGAUCAUCAUAAACAAAUGCGCCCUUAACUUUGAAACUAGCUGCUGCUGCCUCUCAACCUGCCCGGGACAAUGGGUUUGGUUUGUAUUGAUAAUAAUGGGUGCUUUUAGUUAGAUGGAGCGUUUUCAUUCCUGGCAUGGAUGGAGUUUGGAGUUGAUGAUGCUUUUGUUUGUGUGAAUGGAAUGUUAGCCGCUGUGUCUGGAAGUUAUGAUAUAUGAUACUGCCUCCACUUCAAAAUACAGUCUCCGCUUCAAAA